GAACCCUGACGGAGCAACGCCGCGUGCGGGAGGACGGCCUGUGGGUUGUAAACCGCUUUUCUCAGGGAAGAAGUUCUGACGGUACCUGAGGAAUCAGCAUCGGCUAACUCCGUGCCAGCAGCCGCGGUAAUACGGAGGAUGCAAGCGUUAUCCGGAAUUAUUGGGCGUAAAGCGUCCGUAGGCGGUGAGUUAAGUCUGCUGUCAAAGCCUGCAGCUCAACUGUGGAGUGGCAGUGGAAACUGAUUGACUAGAGUGCGAUAGGGGUAGAGGGAAUUCCCAGUGUAGCGGUGAAAUGCGUAGAUAUUGGGAAGAACACCAGAGGCGAAGGCGCUCUACUGGGUCGCAACUGACGCUGAGGGACGAAAGCUAGGGGAGCG
rnacentral:rRNA from 1 species